rnacentral:rRNA from 1 species
CUACAGGCUUAACACAUGCAAGUCGAGGGGUAGCAGGGUAGCAAUACCGCUGACGACCGGCGCACGGGUGAGUAACACGUAUCCAACCUUCCCAUAACUCGGGGAUAGCCUUUCGAAAGAAAGAUUAAUACCCGAUAGUACUUUUUUAGGGCAUCUUAAGAAAGCUAAAGAUUUAUUGGUUAUGGAUGGGGAUGCGUUCCAUUAGAUAGUUGGUGAGGUAACGGCUCACCAAGUCUUCGAUGGAUAGGGGUUCUGAGAGGAAGGUCCCCCACAUUGGUACUGAGACACGGACCAAACUCCUACGGGAGGCAGCAGUGAGGAAUAUUGGUCAAUGGGCGAGAGCCUGAACCAGCCAAGUAGCGUGAAGGAUGACGG